rnacentral:tRNA from 1 species
UUAUAUAAAUUAUAUUUUAAUAAGGAGUAAAUUCUUGAAUUUAAUUUAGGUAUAAA